AACUCUUGGCAAUGGAUAUCUUGGACCUCACAUCGAUGAAGAACGUAGUGAAAUGCGAUACUUGGUAUGAAUUGAAGAAUCUCGUGAACCAUCGAUCCUUUGAAUGCAAGUUGCGCCUAAAGCCAUUAGGCUAAGGGCACGUCUUCCUAGGCAUCA